GUGGGCCCGUGGGUCUGGGUGGGAUCGUGACAGGGACUCCCAGAGCAGCUGGAAACCUGGAGACUGGAUUUAGGCCGAGGCAAGAACACCCAGCAAAAUGAAUCUGUGCAUUUACAUCGUAGACAAGAGGCCUUGCUCCUGCUGAGACAUGAAGAAAAAUGUUUUGUCCCCUCCCAUAAACAAAGUCUCCUUAGGAGUACAAAGAAUGUGUUGCCAGUGUGUGGAAUAUAAAUAAAUUUCUCUGUGGGAAUCAUAA